rnacentral:tRNA from 1 species
GAAGGUAUAGCUCAGUAGUAGAGCACAGGCUUAGCAUACACAAGGUCCUGGAGUCGAUCCCUAGUACCUUCA